rnacentral:misc_RNA from 1 species
CAAUAAGUGUUUUAUGGCACUUUUUAAAUCCAUAUCCACCUUGUGUGCAAUGUCGGUCGAUCUUCUUCAUGGAGAUCGACCAAACAUCAACCUUUAUCUUUUAACUCUUUGUCUGAAAAAUAUUAUGAAUAAACAAUUCAAAAUA